rnacentral:rRNA from 1 species
GACGAACGCUGGCGGCGCGCUUAACACAUGCAAGUCGAGCGUGAUCCAGGCCUUCGGGCCUGGGGACAGCGGCGAACGGGUGAGUAGCACGUGGGUAAUCAACCCUCGGUACUGGGAUAGCCCGGGGAAACCCGGAUUAAUACCGGAUGGCCCUUCGGAUCUUCGGUUCUGAAGGAAAAGGUAGCUUCGGCCUCCGACCGAGGACGAGCCCGCGGCGGAUUAGCUUGUUGGUGGGGUAACGGCCUACCAAGGCGACGAUCCGUAGCUGGUCUGAGAGGACGAUCAGCCACACUGGGACUGAGACACGGCCCAGACUCCUACGGGAGGCAGCAGUGGGGAAUCUUGCGCUAAUGCGGGAAACCGUGACGCAGCGACGCCGCGUGGGGGAAGAAGGCCUUCGGGUUGUAAACCUCUUUCAGGAGGGACGAAGCUACUCGGGUUAAUAGCCCAGAGGGUGACGGUACCUCCAGAAGAAGCCCCGGCUAACUACGUGCCAGCAGCCGCCGUAAAAC